CAGCAGCCACGGUAAUACGUAGGUGGCAAGCGUUGUCCGGAAUUAUUGGGCGUAAAGCGCGCGCAGGUGGUUUAAUAAGUCUGAUGUGAAAGCCCACGGCUCAACCGUGGAGGGUCAUUGGAAACUGUUAAACUUGAGUGCAGGAGAGAAAAGUGGAAUUCCUAGUGUAGCGGUGAAAUGCGUAGAGAUUAGGAGGAACACCAGUGGCGAAGGCGGCUUUUUGGCCUGUAACUGACACUGAGGCGCGAAAGCGUGGGGAGCAAACAGGAUUAGAUACCCCAGUAGUCCCUGUCUCUUAUAA
rnacentral:rRNA from 1 species